UGACUGUUAAAUCUCCGCCCUACCUUCCUUAUCACACUCCACACCUCUCCAUAUCUCCUCUCUUUUUCUCUGUUCUCUUCUCAUUCUUCUCUCGAGCUUCAUAUUCUAUCUCUUCAAUGGUGAACAUCUCUCCAUUAUCAUCCCCCCUCUGAACCCCCAUCCCCACAUCCAUCUUCGUACCACUUAACAGAUACUAGAUAUUUAUAGCUUAGCUGUUCGUUCUGUUGGUGCUCUUUUAUUCAGAGCUUUAACGGCGGAUUGAAGACCCUUUUGAUUGUCUGUGUCAAGAGUUUUCAGCUUAAUCUUCUGAAUCUUCUGCUCACUCUCUGCUCAUUUGGUUGAGGAAAGGUUGAAAAUGGCCCCUAAGAGUGGACGUGGAAAGCAGAGGGGAGACAAGAAGAAAAAAGAAGAGAAAGUCCUUCCUGUCGUCAUGGAUGUCACCGUCAACCUCCCCGAUGAAACUUCCGUCAUUCUAAAGGGAAUAUCAACGGACAGGAUAAUAGAUGUUCGUCGGCUCUUAUCCGUGAACACGAUAACUUGCAACAUCACCAAUUUUUCGUUAUCCCAUGAGGUGAGAGGGCCGGGAUUAAAGGACACCGUGGAUGUUGCAGCGCUGAAGCCAUGCGUUUUAACUUUAGUAGAAGAGGACUAUGACGAAGACACUGCAGCGGCGCACGUUCGAAGGGUUUUGGACAUUGUAGCCUGCACUACGUGCUUCGGUCCUUCACCGUCCGAUGCUGGCAAAAAUGCCCAGGGUGCGCAGGAUAAGAAUUCCGGCAAUAAAUCGAGCAAAGCUCUGGCGAAUGCCAAGCAAUCAUCGUCGUCGUCGCCGCCGCCUACGCCAUCGUCGGCCAAUGAAGGAGAGGGAGAGAUGAGCAAUUCCUGCCCUAAGCUUGGGAGCUUCUAUGAGUUCUUCUCUCUCUCGCACCUCACGCCUCCUCUGCAAUUUAUAAGGAGAGCAAGAAAAUGGCAUGAUGAUGAGAUUUUAGUGCAUGAUCAUCUUUUCUCGCUUGAAGUGAAGCUUUGCAAUGGAAAAUUGGUUCUUGUUGAAGUCUGCAGGAGAGGAUUUUAUAGCAUUGGAAAGCAGCGGAUUUUAUGUCACAACCUUGUUGAUCUGUUACGACAACUUAGUAGAGCCUUUGACAAUGCUUAUGAUGAUCUCAUGAAGGCAUUUUCAGAACGCAACAAGUUUGGAAAUCUCCCUUAUGGCUUCAGAGCCAACACUUGGCUUAUCCCCCCUGUUGCAGCACAGUUACCAGCAAUUUUCCCUCCUCUACCUGUGGAGGAUGAAACAUGGGGAGGAAGUGGAGGUGGUCAAGGAAGAGAUGGCAAAAGCGACUUGAUACCCUGGGCUAACGAGUUUUUGCUUCUUGCAUCUAUGCCUUGCAAGACAGCUGAGGAGAGGCAGAUUCGAGAUCGGAAAGCAUUCCUUCUUCACAGCCUGUUUGUAGAUGUUGCCAUUUUCAGAGCCAUUUCGGCUGUGCAGCAUGUAAUGGGAAAACUAGAUUUGACCCAUUCAUCUGUAAACAGUGAAAUUCUUUACAGUGAGAGAGUAGGGGACUUAACCAUUAUUGUCAUGAAAGAUGCUACAAAUGCAAGCUGUAAGGUGGAUACUAAAAUUGAUGGGAUUCAAGCGACUGGAGUGGGGCAACAGAAUCUAGUAGAAAGAAACCUACUGAAAGGGAUCACUGCUGAUGAAAAUACUGCUGCACAUGAUUUUGCCACUCUUGGUGUUGUCAAUGUCAGAUACUGUGGGUAUAUAGCUGUGGUUAAACUUGAAGGGAAAGAAAGUAGCAAAAUGGAUACUCAUUUUCAAAGCAUUGAACUUCUUGAUCAGCCUGAAGGUGGUGCCAAUGCCCUUAAUAUUAACAGUUUGAGAUUGCUUCUUCACCAAAGAACAGCUUCAGAAAACAACAAACUAGUACAGCAUUCACAAACACUUGAACACGAAGAGCUCAGUGCUGCUCAAGCUUUUGUGGAGGGACUGUUGGAAGAAAGUCUUGCUAAGCUUCAGGAAGAGGAAGUAGAAAAGCACAUUUUUGUGAGAUGGGAACUUGGAGCGUGCUGGAUACAGCAUUUGCAGGAUCAAAACAACACAGAGAAAGAUAAGAAACCAUCUACUGCAAAGACAAAAAAUGAGAUGAAGGUCGAGGGACUUGGUACUCCUCUUAGAUCUCUUAAGAACAAUAAGAAAAAUUCAGAUGGCAACAAUCUGAAAAUGCAGUCUGAGAAAUCAAAAACCCCUGCAGAGUCUGUUAUUGGGGAAGCUGAAAAUUCUACACUGUCCUCAACAAAACCUCAGCUUGAAGCUAAUGCAAAUGAAAAUGAACUUGCACUGAAGAGGAUGCUGUCUGAUGCAGCUUUUGCCCGGCUUAAACAAUCUGAAACUGGACUCCACCGCAAGUCUUUACAGGAACUAGUUGAUCUGUCCCAGAAAUAUUACAGUGAAGUUGCACUUCCGAAACUGGUUGCAGAUUUUGGUUCAUUGGAACUCUCACCAGUGGAUGGUCGGACGCUGACCGAUUUCAUGCAUACUAGAGGUCUUCGAAUGCGUUCUCUGGGACAUGUUGUUAAACUUUCAGAAAAGUUAUCACACGUGCAGUCACUUUGUAUUCAUGAGAUGAUAGUGCGGGCUUUUAAGCACAUUCUGCAGGCAGUAAUAGCUGCUGUUGUUAAUCCUGAGAAAUUGGCUAUGUCAAUAGCUGCUGCACUGAAUCUGAUGCUUGGGGUUCCUGGAAAUAGAGAAUUAAAUCAGUCAUGCAAUGCUCAUCCCCUUGUGUGGAGAUGGUUGGAGGUAUUCUUGAAGAAGCGAUAUGAAUGGGAUUUUAGCACAUUAAACUACAAAGAUGUGCGGAAAUUUGCAGUUCUACGGGGAUUAUGUCAUAAGGUGGGAAUUGAGCUAGUUCCAAGGGAUUUUGAUAUGGAUUCUCCAUACCCUUUCCAAAAACUUGACGUUAUUAGCUUGGUACCAGUGCAUAAGCAAGCAGCAUGCUCAUCUGCAGAUGGACGACAACUUCUAGAAUCAUCAAAAACAGCUCUAGAUAAGGGAAAACUUGAAGAUGCAGUCAGCUAUGGGACAAAGGCUCUGGCAAAGCUGGUCGCAGUUUGUGGUCCCUACCAUCGAAUGACAGCAGGAGCUUACAGCCUCCUUGCUGUAGUUUUGUAUCAUACAGGGGACUUCAAUCAGGCCACAAUUUAUCAACAAAAGGCGUUGGACAUCAAUGAGAGAGAACUAGGACUUGAUCAUCCAGACACAAUGAAGAGUUAUGGAGAUCUUGCUGUGUUCUAUUACAGACUUCAACACACAGAACUGGCUCUCAAAUAUGUAAAACGCGCGCUGUAUCUUCUGCAUCUCACUUGUGGCCCAUCUCAUCCAAACACUGCUGCGACAUAUAUCAAUGUGGCUAUGAUGGAGGAAGGCCUUGGACAUGUGCAUGUGGCCCUCAGAUAUCUUCAUAAAGCUCUAAAGUGCAACCAAAAGUUACUUGGUCCAGAUCAUAUUCAGACAGCAGCAAGUUACCAUGCAAUAGCAAUUGCUCUAUCAUUGAUGGAAGCAUACCCUUUGAGCGUUCAGCAUGAGCAAACAACCUUGCAAAUUCUCCGAGCAAAGCUGGGCCCUGAUGACCUGCGUACACAGGAUGCUGCUGCUUGGCUCGAGUACUUUGAGUCAAAGGCUUUUGAACAGCAAGAAGCUGCAAGAAAUGGGACUCGAAAACCUGAUGCAUCCAUAGCCAGCAAAGGCCACCUAAGUGUAUCAGAUUUGCUUGACUACAUCAAUCCUAGUCAAGAUGCCAAAGGAAGAGAUGCUGUGACAGUGAAAAGGAAAAGCUAUAUCGCAAAGGUUAAAGGGACAUCCUACCAAGAUUUCAGUUUAGCAAGUCCCGAGGAUUCUCCAAAAGAUACCCCAAAGGAAACUUCAGAUGAAGAAAAACAAAUACGUGAAUCUGGAGGAAGUGUAGAUACAAAUCAUGAAACCAGGUUUGCUUCAGUUCCUGCCGAACAGCCUGUUAUGGAUGAGGCUUCUGGGGACACGCCGAACAUUGGCAAUGAAACCUCCUCCGAAACGAAUGCUGAAGGAGAAGAUGGAUGGCAAUCAGUUCAAAGGCCGAGAUCAGCUGGUUCAUAUGGGCGGCGAAUAAGACAGCGAAGAACAACUAUCAGCAAGGUCUAUAGUUAUCAGAAAAAGGAUGUGGAUACUGAAUUGGACUAUAGUCAAGUUAAGAAUACUUAUCAGAAUAGUAGGUAUUACAUGCUAAAGAGACGUACAAUAUCUGCUGGCAGUACAGAUUACCACACCUCAGGCUCCUCCCCAGGUACUAAAUUUGGGCGCAGAAUAGUUAAAGCUGUUACAUACAGGGUGAAGUCUGUGCCAUCUACUAAAACAGCCACAAAAUUAGAAACUGGUACAAUUUCUGCACCAAAUGACAUGAGUCCAAUUUCACAGAAGAAAUCAGUAGUGAGUCUUGGAAAAUCUCUUUCAUACAAGGAAGUAGCGCUGGCCCCACCUGGUACUAUUGCUAAGAUGCAGGUGACAGUGUUCCAAAAUGAUAUUCCAGAUAACCGGCAACUUGAUGUUGGAAAACCAGAAGUGGAAACCAAUGAACCAAGUGAAAGUACAGACUCGAUGAUUACAGAGGCGGUAAAUAUCAAUGCAGAGGAGAAUAAGAUUUCUAUUUUACAUUCUAAAGAUUACUUAAAAGAUGAAGUCGAAGUUGUUGAAAAGAAAAAUGAAACUCAGUCAGGUGAUGCAAUCGGAAAUAUUCCUUCCGAGAUUGUUUCUAAGAGCGUGGAAGCUGUUGAAUCUCAUGGUGCUGAGGUUCAAGAGGUGGUACAGGGUGGUGUCAAAAUGGAUGGCAGGCCAAAUUCAACUGAUUCUCCUAAUGAGGAGCUAUCUGAGGACCCUAGCAGUUCUGAGCCCAAUGAAAAUUCUCACUCUGCCUUGCAGGGAGUUGAAAAUUUAAAGGACAAACCAUCAGUUCUGAAUUCAGGUGAUACUCGAGAGUUGCCCAAUAAGAAGCUGUCUGCAUCAGCAGCUCCGUUCAAUCCAUCACCAGCCAUAGCACGUCCUCCACCAGUGGCCAUGAAUAUUACUCUCUCUUCUGGUCCCGGUGCCGUUCCAGCUGUUUCUGCUUGGCCAUUGAACAUGACUCUUCAUCCAGGGCCUGCUGCUGUCUUGCCUGCAGUUAAUCCAAUGUGCUCCUCUCCUCACCACCCAUACCCAUCACCUCCUCCAACCCCAAACAUGAUGCACCCAUUACCUUUUAUGUAUCCUCCUUAUACUCAACCCCAAGCAAUACCGGCCAGUAACUUUCCUGUGACUAGCAGCCCAUUUCAUCCCAAUCAUUUUGCUUGGCAAUGUAAUAUGAAUCCUAAUGCAUCAGAGUUUAUGCCUGGUACGGUUUGGCCGGGCUGCCAUCCAAUGGAGUUUUCUAUCAUUCCACCUGUUAUUGAGCCAAUUUCUGAUCCCAUUUUGGAGCCAAAAGUGCAAUCUGGUAAUUCUGAAGGUCUGAUUUCGGCUCCAAUCCUGCCCGAAGAGAUUAGCAAUGGGGGAGAAACUAUUAAGGAAGUGAAUCUUCUUGCAUCAGAGGCAAUGGGUGAUGCAAAUAUAAUACCUGUGGUUGGCUCAGAAAAUGGGAAGGAAAUUGCUCAUUCAGAUCCUUGUACGGUUGAAAGUUCUGGGAAGGAACAACUGGGUCACAGUAACAGCCCAAAUGAGUGUACUGGAAUCAGUAGUGAGAAGAAGAUUGAUGGUGAGAAAACUUUCAGCAUUCUGAUACGAGGGAGAAGAAACCGAAAGCAGACUCUGAGAAUGCCGAUAAGUUUGCUCAAUCGACCAUAUGGCUCGCAAUCUUUCAAAGUUAUAUAUAACAGAGUUGUCAGAGGGAGUGAAGUUCCCAAGUCAAACAGCAUUUCUUUGAGGGAAGAGAGUGCAGCUGGUGCUGUGUAACCCGCAGAUUUGUUGUUCACAGACCUUAUGGUUGCAGGAUGGUUGAGAGAGAAAGAAGGUUGCAUUCCUCAUUUUGUCAAUAUACAAGUGGCAGGAUAAUCUUGGAAAAUUUCUUGUAUCAUGGUUGCAACUUACCUAUCAGUGUUUUGAUUACACCAACUUCCUGGAAAAUGCAGGCUACUAUUCCAACAUUCAAAAACCAAUACUGCAGGAGCUUUUCAUUUUACUUCAUCUUGGGUCUAAAUAUAAACAAUCAUGCAGGAAAGGAGACCAUCUUUUUCACAUCAGGUUUAUAUAGGAAAUUUACUUUCUGGGAUUUGAAGAGGGGUCUUUUUAAGGUGAAAACAUUGAUUCUUAAUUUAGUUAGAAAAUUUUGGUUCACAGCAAUAAAAAAACUGAGGAUUAGUUUUUCUUUUUUCUUGGUUCCCACGGCGACUUUAAUAAUUAAUUUGAUUUAAUUGUAUAUGACUUCAAUUCCUUUUUGAUUGGGAUUGAUGAAUUGUCUUUGGUUACUAAUAAGAGGAAAGAAUUCAGUACUGCUUCUGCCAA